CGAUUUCAGAUGGUGCUA
rnacentral:miRNA from 1 species